CAGAGACUGCAAGCGUUAUUCGGAUUCACUGGGCGUAAAGGGUGCGCAGGCGGUCGGGUGUGUCAGAUGUGAAAUCCCGAGGCUCAACCUCGGAACUGCGUCUGAAACUACUCGACUAGGGUACUGGAGAGGGUAACGGAAUUCACGGUGUAGCAGUGAAAUGCGUAGAUAUCGUGAGGAACACCAGAGGCGAAGGCGGUUACCUGGACAGUUACUGACGCUCAGGCACGAAAGCAUGGGGAGCAAAAGGGAUUAGAUACCCCUGUAGUCCAUGCCCUAAACGGUGCACACUAGGUCUUAGCGGAUUCGACCCCACUAGGGCCCAAGCUAACGCGUUAAGUGUGCCGCCUGAGGACUACGGUCGCAAGACUA
rnacentral:rRNA from 1 species